CGCAGGUGUCGACCAAAAGCUUAGCUCAGAUGGUAGAGUACUUGCUUAGCGUGCGAGAGGUUCGGGGUUCGAUACCCCGCGCCUCGA